rnacentral:rRNA from 1 species
GACGAACGCUGGCGGCGUGCCUAAUACAUGCAAGUAGAACGCUGAAGCUUGGUGCUUGCACCGAGCGGAUGAGUUGCGAACGGGUGAGUAACGCGUAGGUAACCUGCCUGGUAGCGGGGGAUAACUAUUGGAAACGAUAGCUAAUACCGCAUAACAGUAGAUAUCGCAUGAUAGCUACUUGAAAGGUGCAAAUGCACCACUACCAGAUGGACCUGCGUUGUAUUAGCUAGUUGGUGAGGUAACGGCUCACCAAGGCAACGAUACAUAGCCGACCUGAGAGGGUGAUCGGCCACCCUGGGACUGAGACACGGCCCAGACUCCUACGGGAGGCAGCAGUAGGGAAUCUUCGGCAAUGGACGGAAGUCUGACCGAGCAACGCCGCGUGAGUGAAGAAGGUUUUCGGAUCGUAAAGCUCUGUUGUAAGAGAAGAACGAGUGUGAGAGUGGAAAGUUCACACUGUGACGGUAUCUUACCAGAAAGGGGCGGCUAACUACGUG